GUGAAUCAUCAAAUCUUUGAACGCAAAUUGCACUCUCCGGUUUUCCGGGAGAGUACGCCUGUUUGAGGGUCAGCCUAAAAAAAAUCGACAUUGUUGCUGUUAUUUAAUGGUGACUUUCGUCGGAGAUUGGGUUAUCUUAAACCUUUUUUUUUUGGUUUAACCACCUUAAAAUUUUUUUUCCCUUUUCAUUGAAGUUUCUAAAAUUUUUUUUUUUUUUUC
rnacentral:misc_RNA from 1 species